rnacentral:rRNA from 1 species
AGUGAACGCUGGCGGUAGGCCUAACACAUGCAAGUCGAACGGUAGCACAGGAGAGCUUGCUCUCUGGGUGGCGAGUGGCGGACGGGUGAGGAAUACAUCGGAAUCUACCUUUUCGUGGGGGAUAACGUAGGGAAACUUACGCUAAUACCGCAUACGACCUACGGGUGAAAGUGGGGGACCGCAAGGCCUCACGCGAUUAGAUGAGCCGAUGUCCGAUUAGCUAGUUGGCGGGGUAAUGGCCCACCAAGGCGACGAUCGGUAGCUGGUCUGAGAGGAUGAGCAGCCACACUGGAACUGAGACACGGGCCAGACUCCUACGGGAGGCAGCAGUGGGGAAUAUUGGACAAUGGGCGCAAGCCUGAUCCAGCCAUACCGCGUGGGUGAAGAAGGCCUUCGGGUUGUAAAGCCCUUUUGUUGGGAAAGAAAUCCUGUCGAUUAAUACUCGGUGGGGAUGACGGUACCCAAAGAAUAAGCACCGGCUAACUUCGUGCCAGCCGCCGCAGUAAUAC